AUUGAACAUUGUGCCCAGAAACUACCUUGCCAUUAUGAAGAGUGAAGUGGCCUCUUGAGGAAGCAAAUAUCAGGCUGGAGCCUUUUCUUAUUAUGACUGAAUUGAUGAUCCCAGAACAACAGUGUGAAAGAAAACAUGAAGUGGUGAAAAAAACGAGGAACCACUUCUUUGCUGAUGAAGAACAGAAGGAGAUUCAGUGCCCUUAGUUUUACUGAACGAUCAACAGUUAAGCAUCAAAUAAAGAUCUGGAUGGUUCUGACAAGAACUUCUUUCCUUCCAAGAAGCUGAUGACAUUAUACAUGGUAAGUCUCCUCCCUGGCCCAGCUCAGAUAUUAGCCUUCCAGAGUAAGUGAAACUAAGUGGUAACAGGCAACCCAAGAAGAGUCAGUUUUCUGUCUGGGCGGAGAUUUGA
rnacentral:lncRNA from 1 species